rnacentral:lncRNA from 1 species
CAAAGCGCAGUUUUAUUUGAAGCUUGAACAGCCUCUACUUAAUGCAGAACAGUUAACCGCUGCCAAUGAUUCCUAACAGGUUGCGCUUGGUUUUCCAUUUUAGUAUUAUUCUAAAACAUUCUGUACAAUGUUAAACAGCAUGAGGAAAAACCAAUUCAUUAAGUCACUAGAUGUUUCUUGAGACAAAAUCACAAAACAAAAAAUUCUGAUAAGUAGUACAAAACAAAAUACUUUAAAUCACCUUGAAUUGUUUUGUUUUUGUGAGGGUGGCUGUGUACACGUUUUGAGUUGUUUUGUGGUAAUAACUUUACAGUAUAAUAAGCGGUGAUGAAAAGGUAACAUGCCAGAUGUUAUCUAGAGAAACAAGCUCUUUAUUCAACCACUUCUGUGUCAGUCAGACGAAUGGUGAAUUGAAUGACAUUCCAACAUUUUAUGUGCACUUUGCAGGACAUAAAUCAGUUACAAGAAGGCAAAGGAGGAGUUGUAUUGUAACAGUAACAAGGAAAAGAACAGGAGAAGUAGCAGAAUCGAUCGGUAUUCUGAAUGAUGCUAAAAUUAAUAUUAUUACACUUUGUAAAAUCUGUAACUUCCCUCCUCUCAAACUAUGUAAAUGUAGCUCUGGUCCAGGGCGUGGUUCGGCUACUCUCUCACGACAAUGAUCCUUUGGAGCACAGAGCUGGACCAGAGCUAGUGUAAAUGUGUUCAUCAGAGGAGGUCUUCAGUUUCACCACUGUAACCUCACCAUAACCUGUUCACCACUGUAACCUCACCAUAACCUGUUCACCACUGUAACCUCACCAUAACCUGUUCACCAUUGCAUGUUAUGCAUUGCAGCCACUGUAUCAUACAGUAUGACACUUAGUUAAGAGGAAGUAAACAUUGUAAAUAUUGCUCAGUAUUCUUUAGAGUGAGCAGAUGUUCAUGUAGCUAAAGUCAUUACUGCAUGGUAAUGGCACUGAGGCAGUGGCAUUGGAAAGGUUUUAUUUGUUUUUCAAAAGUAUCCAUCAUCAACAAAAUAACUAAGCAAAGUGUAUUUUUGUCACGUUCACAGCUUCAACCAAACUUGCUAAGUACUGUACUGAGGGCCUCCGGUAAGUACGAAAAGUUCAAUCCACAAAACAGGCAAAAGCAACGUUUUACAAAGGACCCCCCAACUGUUUUUAACAAUUUUAAAUGGUUGAGAAUCUACCAUAUCUUUUCAAGUGAUUUCCCGUAGCGGACAUGUUUACAGUGAGUAGAGACUGAAGCGGUAAGCAGAAGGCGAUAGAUCUAGCAGUCCUUGUAAGCUAAUCAGUAGUUAAGGUGACGAGUGUUUAUUAGAAAUAACUUUUCUACGGUAUUCACUUUUAAACAUGUUUGACCCCAGGUAAUGGUUUGUACAGCUGCUUUGAGAAGGAUGUGGGGCUUAAUGAACUAUUCUGGUGUCCACAGAUUGGACCAGUUUUACUGUCUACAACACUGUCAGGUAACCAGAAAGAAACACUGUUCAUCAUUACAACAUUUUGUAAGGUUUCCAAAAAGACCAGAAGGACAUCGACCAAAAACUAAAAUAUCCAUGUCAAAAAACUGUAAUAAUGAUGGAACCAACCAUUCAUUUCUUUGCAUUGUGAGUGGUGAGACUGUCUGCUACUUUACAAUAAGCUACGAACCUGCACUAAAAGCCACAGGUGGUUUCAUUAGAGACUGGGGCAGCAUUAAGCAGAUGAUGAAAUAACUGGGCUUGAACCCCCAGCAUUGCAUUGGCGAUGAGGAAGUCACUUGUUGGUCAAACCCAGUAGCACAGUGUACAGUACUACCGCCAUGUGUUGGAGAUAGAGAUUCCCCUGACCUCUCCUCUUCUGCCUCCACUAGCUCUGGCUUCUACCUCAACUCCACUUUCACUUUACCCACCUUAAAUGGCAUUGGGCUAAGUCACACCUACUACGUCUCAAAUGGCGCCCUAUUCCCUAUUUAGUGCACUACUUUUGACCAGGGUCCAUAGGGCUCUGGUCAAACGUAGUGCACUAUAUAGGGAAUAUGGUGCCAUUUGGGGGACACAGCCUAAGACUGCCCCACUGACAGUAGACACACAUUAUGCCUGGUUAGUAACUAUACAACACCACAAUCUGGUUUUAACUCUUGAGACAUUCACACAAAUACCGUUUCUCACUGACUAACUUUCUCUUCUCCAUUCCUAUCCUUCUACCUCUUUCUCCCCUCUCUCACCACCAACACGAGGCUUGUAUACCGUGCUGCCUGGUGUCGGACACACACAAGGCUUCGUGGACAGGCCAUCAAUAAAGAUAGCCUGAUUGUUGUAGUGGGUCUAAUGAUAGGCUCAGUGCUAGCUAGAGAGCUCUGGCAUAGUGACUGACUGGUUCUAGUAUCUGAAACGUGUCCCCAGAACACUAGAACAAACAGAACGGCUAACGGAACAGUCAAGCAUUCCAUUCUUAACAGACCCUUUAUUUGAAAUGUUAGGUAACCCUGGUUCAGCCUCACUCUGUUCUGUUGUCUGCGUUCAUUUGUUCCUUUCAAAUACAGAGUUGUCCAAGCUUCAACAACUUUUUAUUAACCAUCAGGUCCAUUCCUACUCUCUGCAGUCUACGACUAAGUUUGUCUGUCCCCCCCAAAUCAAAUGUAUUUAACCCGAAUACUAAAAAAAUAAAUGGCACAAAGAAAAAGGAAACGAGUUACCCUAGCCCACCUUCCCCCCUUCCCAGUGUACCUUUUUGACCUUUGUACCCACAGAGCCAGUAAAGCACUUCAACGAAGCACAAAUCAACAGCACUUCCGUUACUCCAUCAUGUCAAAAAAACGGUUAAAAAAAAAGCAAAAUAAAUAAUGGAAGGCACUAGAAACUCCAGCAGAGCUCUCACUGGAGUACUGGGGGGCGAAAGGAGACAGAAAAGACCAAGGGCAAGUCCUACAUUGCACCUUAUUCCCUAUAUAGUGCACUACUUUUGACCAGAGCCCCAUGGGCCCUGGUCGAGGUCCAUCGGCCCCUGGUGAAAAGUUGUACACCAUGUAGGGGAUAGGGUGUUAUUUGGGACUCAACCCCAAGUUACUAUUCAAGUACGUUAAUUGAGUCCAUUUAACAUUCACAUUUAUCUAAUAUAAAGAAAGUAGAAAGAGAAGAAAGGUUAAAGUGACUUGGAUAAGUACUGGAUAAGGAAAAUAGCUAGCCUUUUACUUUGUAUUUUUUUCAGCCUAAGUAUUACCAAUCCACCAUAACGUUUCCUCCAACUGUCUUUUUUUCUUCUUAAACUCAUGUUGUCCAACAACAUUUAGAAUAAUCACAGUGUUUCAACAUCAAAAACUGAUGGGUAAAUACAGGUCCAUACAGAACACAUCUUGUCUUCUUUUUUUAAAUAGAAUAAUAAUAAUGUACAUUUUUGUUUUCAAUCACACUAUUGAAAAGACUCAGAAGUAGAGAGAUCGAGGCCCCUAAUGCUGUCAACAUCAUGAUUAUAAAAGCUGUUAUGUUACUAUUAGAUCAUAGGUUUGAAAGCUUCACAAGCCCUCCUCAGGACAGACAGCGUUGUGUUGCUGGAGAUCCAAGGCUUUACUUACAACCAUCAUACCAUCCCCCAUGCAGCCUGCCUCCAGCCCAGCCCACGUCCAGUCCUCCCCCUGCCCCACCGAGACCUCUCCUUCUCUGGGUCCACGCAGGACCAACACCAACCCACCUCACAACCGUGAAAACAAUCUCAUGUGUGACACAGAGCCAACAGGACAUACCUCCCUCCGUUCGCCCUGCACUCCCUCUCAGAGCUAAACCACCUGUGAAAAAGAAGGCUAUUGAGUCUGAGAGGGUCUACUUCAGUCAACAAGUCCUGUCUGAGAGAAUCUACUUCAGUCCUGUCUGUUAGUUCAGGGGAGAUCUCUCAUUAGGGAUAUGUAGAUGAGAACCAUGGAAACUACCAGCCAGCUUAUACAGACUUUAGGCUUCAGGAUUGGGAUCUCAUUGGCCUCCCAGAUACAGCACAUUUUAGAAUGGAGUAACUAUAAGCCUGAAGUUAAGACUGGGAUAGAUGGGUCUCUCACACAGUACUCCUCUCCAAUCAGGUGAAGAGAUGGUUAGCAUGGAGAUGGGAGUUGUAGUUUCUUUAAAGGCCCUAUACUGAGAGUUCCUGGAUAGGAGGGUCAACCCUAGCGUAAACCCUUUCAUCAUGCUACAGAAGGGUCUCCUCAGUUCAAUGGGGACAGAGGAAAAAAAUAAAAACACUAAUUAAACAUGGAAUCAUCA